GACGUAGGGCGCGAGCGUUGUCCGGAUUUAUUGGGCGUAAAGAGCUCGUAGGCGGCUUGUCGCGUCGAAUGUGAAAACUCGGGGCUCAACUCCGAGCUUGCAUUCGAUACGGGCAGGCUAGAGUUCGGUAGGGGAGACUGGAAUUCCUGGUGUAGCGGUGAAAUGCGCAGAUAUCAGGAGGAACACCGGUGGCGAAGGCGGGUCUCUGGGCCGAUACUGACACUGAGGAGCGAAAGCCAGGGGAGCAAACGGG
rnacentral:rRNA from 1 species